ACCGCCACGGACACCGCCGCGGACACCGCCACCGCCGCGCUGCCCGGCGUGGUCGCCAGCUGAGCCCUGCGGGGAGCUCCCGUCCCGCCCCGCGGUGGCCGCGCAGGGCGCGGGGCUCCGUGUCCCGGGUGAGGGGAAGGCGCUGUGCAGCCCGGAGCACCGGAGCGGAGCGCCUGUCCCGCACCUCGGGCUGCGCUCGCCUCCGCGAUCAGCUUCGCUCUUGAACUUCCAAAAACCGUGGAGGAGCGACUGGGGCCGCUCAGGAGCGCGCCCGGCUCCGAGGCGGGCGGACAGGAGCCGGGGCAGGACAGGAGAGGCUGGGGGCUCACACCUGCUCCCCAGCACCACGCUGGUGGACAGGUUGAAAUCACAUAUUAUGAAGGAAUUCUGUGCUGUUGGGGUGGUGAGGCACUGAAACAGGUUGUCCAGAGAAGUGGAUGCUCCAACCCUGGAAAUACUCAAGGCCAGGCUGGAUGGGACUUUGAGCAACCUGGUCCGGUGCCUGUGGUUGACGCAAGAUGAUCUUUAAGGUCCCUUCCAACCCAAACUAUUCCAUGGUCUAUGAAAAUCUGGUUAUUUGCCAUGCAUGCUUCCUAACAAAAAGCCCUCCCAUUGCCCUGCUCUGCCCUGGCAGUUUUUUACAUGUGAGCUAUAAGUGAACCCUUCUGACAGAAACAGGAUUCUGUUACAGAAAGGCAGACAUGAGAAGAUCACCACCAAGAAAGGCUACAACAAAAGAAAAAACUGCUUUGUGCCUGUGUCCAGGCAAGAGGAGGUUGCCUACAGCAGCAAGCUUUUGGAGCUCUCCAGUCCAACUGCUAAAACAAGGCCAGCUUCAAAACUAGAGCAGUUUGUACAGGGGCUUUGAGUAUCUCCAAGAAAGGAGAAGCACAGCCACCUUGGGCAGCCAGUGCUAGUGCUGACCACCUUGAAGCAAAAAGGUUUAUUUCUGAUACCCUGGUAGAUUUCCCUCAUUGCAGCUUGCCCUGUGACCUUUUGCUGUACACAUCUGGAAAGGGUCUGGCUCCUUUUUCUCUCAGACCGUUCUCCAGGCUCAGCAAUUCCAGCUCCCCUGCAGUCAAGCUUGGCCAGCAACUGAGGUGUUCUCCACACUGCAGAUCCUUGGAAUGCAAUGUAGGGUACAGCACAGCAAAACUUGUAACCCAACAGAAGAGAAUAAAAGACCACAUUACGCUCACCCUGCAGAAUAUUUGCUGAGAAGAUUCAUUUCUUGGAAACCAGCCAGAAUCCAGCGAUGCUCAUACAAAAGCACGUGUCAGGACAUUUUAAAAGCAGUGCAACAUUGGCAUGAUGAUCACGGAGAUCAUUUGCCAAUGGUGAACUCUGCAGCUGAAUCCAAUCAGGGUUGUGAAAUGGUCCUUUCAGCCUCCUCUGACUCAUAAUAACAGUAAUAAUAAUAAUUUGGGGUUAGAUUUUGAAUUUGGCUGUGGCUCUUAAUAGAGGGUUGUGGAAAGCUGCACCUGCUGGAGCUGUGCACCAGCCCAGGGAAGGGAGAAGGAUCAGUCAGAAACAUUUCAAAUGUUUGUCAUGUGCCUUUCCAGCUCUCCAAGUGGGGAUGCCUUUUCCUCUCCUGUUCUGUGGCAUUUUUAGUUUGUUUGAAUUUAGGACAGUGGCUAAACACAAGGUAAUCAGCCUGUGACAGUGAAAUCGUUUGUUUGAUUACUUUUUGCCAGCAAAUCAUUAUUAUAACACGUUGGGCUAGCUGAUGGACCGUGGGAGCGGUGGCAAUCAAAUACAGGGAGGAAAGAAAAUACUUUUUCUAUGUGGGAGAGUGACCUGGGGAGCGUGCACAGUAUGAAAUAAUCAAGCUGCUGGCAGAUCCCAGUGUACCAGGGGGAGGACACAGGAAUGGAAAGCUCAGCAGUUUCACAGAACUUGCUCCAGUUGCUCCAGGUCUAGAGAUGCCAUUCUGCCUGUCUGCAGUCAGUCCAAGGAAAACAGCUAGUGUGAAAGCAGGUCUGUCCUGCCUCCUUUAGCUACAACCCUAGCACAAGAGGAGGGCAAACCAGGAGGAUUGAGUUUGAUUAAUUUUCUCUACUUUGGACCCAGCUCAGGGCAGAAAUAACAAGCAUCACUGUGGACAGACUAUCAAUGUGAUAUUGAUGUCUCUAUGUAAUUUAAAAUUAAUUAAACCACUCAAAAACACCUUA